CUGGGUAGAUGGGUUAUGCUAGGUAGCACGGCGCUAGCUCCGUCCAGACAGAACCGUAAUUUUUGCGCGUUGGGUGACAUUUAGCCCUUUCAGUUUAAACCUGAGUAUAUUGAAAUAGAAGGCAAUGUAAGAAUAAAUGAAAACGAGGAGGACUGAACAGACGAAGAGAAGAGAUUCGGUCGAAAAAGCCGGUGUGUUUGUUCGGCUGGCUGCUACUUGGAAAUGGCAACCCAGAAGGAGAGCCGAUGCUGCAACCAGCUCCGGUUUCUAACGCAAACUGUUAACGUUUAAAAGCCUGGCUUCCCUUGGGCUGUAAAGGAAGAAGGAAUGACUGAAGACUUUUGCACAGUGCCGUCACCCCUCCAGUGAUUUAUGGCUCAGCCUCAGGGUGUCACCAGAGCAGGAGGCGCCAGGCAAACAUCCAGAUGGAGGGCGUCCUGAUCAGGUUCACGGAGAGUUUCAGAAUCGUCUGAGUCCUGGAGGAGGAGGUGGUGUUGACAGACGGCCGGUUUCCAGAUGGACUUCUCUCUCUCAGGAAGGAAGAUGACUGAGGAAACAAAACCACCCGGAUGCAUCAACAUCUUCCUGCUUCGCAUGUCUGGAGAUGUUUGGAUUUAUUUGGUUUAU